CACACUGGCACAGGGAAGAAGGCAGUCCAGAAGUCCUUAAAAAAGUACCCAUUGCUGAACCAGGCCCUCUGAAGUUAGGGCCCCACAAGAACAAAAUUCCACAAUCCCAGCAGUGCUACCUAAUGUCGCCUGGCUCCCCGAGGUAAGGCCUCCUGUGUAGAAAAGAGCUCGCACAGCAGGCCUGAGACUUCUCUUCCUAGAAAAACCUACUUCAGGGUAAGCCCCGGGCUUGCAUCCGGGAACUUGGAUGUUGGAAGGGUUGCCACCAUUCCCAGAUCUGGUAAGAGUGACUCACUGUACCUAAACUGUGCAAACAGUGUGGUUUAUGCUGUCUUGGUGUGGUUUAUAUCUGCUUUCUUUCUGGGAAUCUGGAAUUUUCUGCUUGCCAAGCAGAGAGUGCCCAUGUGACCACCCCCCCGAUAAAAACCCUGGACUCCGAGUCUCCAAUGAGUUUCCUUGUUAGACAAAUUUCACAAGAAUUGUCACAACUUGUUGCUGUGGGGAUGAAGCGUGUCCCGUGAGGUUCUGCUGGAAGAGUUUUUUGGAGCUUGCCCCUGGUUUCCUCUGGACUUCACCCCUGCACCCUUUUCCUUUGCUGACUUAGCAUUGUGUUCCACCACUGUGAUCAGUCAUAGCUGUGAGUACUACUGCAUUCUUGUGCCAACGCCUGUGACUCAUGCCAGUGAAUUAUCCUACCUGAAGGUGGUGUUGGGAGACCCCAGUACACCUCCCUUGUCCUAAGGAAAACACUUAGCUCCCAUUUUGGCUUGACCUGAGCAUUAGGUUUGCAGGUUUGUGGUGUUUUUUCCUCCUCCCCAAGUGAUUCUCCCAGAGGAGCCUGGCUGACUCACUGGGAAAGAGGCUCCUGUGCCUCUAGACACCUGAGACUAUUUUGUUCCCACAGCUAGCUUUCAGAAUGAAAUGAAACAUGAUGAAAGAGGAAACAUCAAUUACAAGCAACAGCCAGGCAAGUAAGGCUUUCAGAGCCUCCUGGGUUUCCCCUCAACCACCUUUGCAGUGAGGGGGCAGCCAAAUGCUUGGGUUUAAUUAGAUGAAACAUAAAGAAGGUAAGUUUCAUUGUCUAUUUGGCCCCAGGCAGAAGCAGAGAAGUGAAUGCACUCCCAGUAUCGUUCUUACUCAAUCACAGUCCUGAGCCUUCCUCCUUCUGGAACAUUCUUCUGAGAGGUUGCAUAGCUGUGUUUACAGGGGACAGCGCAUUUACACAGACUUGAGAUGAUAUUUUGCUCUCCUUUUUGCAUAUCCUCCGGUUGGCCGGAAUGAAAAGGGCAAACUGUUUUCAUUACCAGUCAAAUCACUUCUGGCUGCUUGAGGUAGCAGAGGCCCCAUCUGCAACAUCAAUUCUGGAAUAACUCAUUUAUAGAAAGGGAAUAAGAACCCCCAGCUUGUAGAUGAGGCUGCCAGAAGGAUGAAACGAGGUGUGUGAAGUCUUGAGCAUGAUGUCAGCACAGAGCAGGUGCUCAAUAAAUUUCAGGGUCUUCCCCUAUGGGUCAGAAAUAGGGUGCUUCUAGUUUCACUUGUCUGGUUUGUUCACACCAGCUGUGCCACUCCAACACGCCCCUCCAACUUUCCCCACCUCCCAUCUUGCUGGAUCAGCUAUCCCCAGCUCUCUGGCUGCAGCAGCCAGUGCCCCCACUGCACUAAGCUGAGCUUCCUUGAGAUUUGAUGGGACCGAGUUCCUUUCCCCAUUUGGCUCAACAAAGGCAUUUUUCUUGGAGAAACUUUAUGAAAUGAGAAAAUUCUAUAUCAAAGAGGCAGGCUGUCCAGCUCUAAUUGCUGGGGCCUCCAGGGCAUGGUGCAGGGGGAGUUGGUACCCACAGCCUGGGACACCUGGACACCAAAGCCCCAGGCUGGAAAAGGUCCCUGGGCCCUCAUCAGUCAGCAGCUGUGCUGGCUCUGAUCAAACCAAACCAAACCAAACCAAACCAAACCAAACCAAACCAAACCAAACAAUGACUCACAGCUCCCAAUUUAAACAAUGCAACAGCGUCUCAUGUUAGAGAAAAAUUGGAAACAACCUCAGAGGCCCACAUUAGGAAGAUAGGACAUCACAGGAGGCAGCUCCACACUGCUGUUAAACAUUCUGGUGAUGGAGAACUUUCAAUGGCAUAGAAAGGGAAGGAGCAGACAGGAGAAAAUAAUAGAAUAUACCAUUUAUGCUGGGAAAUGUAUGAGGAGUCAAGUUAAUUGCUCUGCAGAAACCCUGGGCUUAAAUAUUAACACCAUGGAGGACAAGAGUCUGUGUCUCCCCUCCCAAGAAGACAAAACAUUGCCAACUCAAAAACCACUGGAAAGAUAGUGAGAAAGAGGCCAUCUGCAAGCCAGAAGGAAGGUCCUCGCCAGACAACAAAUCCACCGGCACUUUGAUUUUGGAUUUCCAGGUUGGAGAAGUAUGGGAAAAUAAAUGCCUUGCUGAAGACCCCAGGCUGUGCUGUUUUGUUACAGCCAAAGACACUGACGUCUCUGUAUUUCUGAGAAUGGAAUGCACCUGGCAUGCAGUACGUUUUGGCAGAGUUGAAGAGCUGGCCAUCACAGUCUCUGCUCCUCUUCAAAUGCAGACAGCACAUGCUGGGAAGUAGCUACCCAACUGAGGAUGACACUUCCCAGGCCCUGGAUCUGGGCAGAUGGCUCAGUCCUGGACUCAAGGCCUCCUCGGAGUGCUUGCUCUGGGCUCCUCUAAAGUAUGCAUGACGAGCCGUGGUCUCGAGGUUCAAAGGACACCAGGCUAAAAAGCGCCUUGUGAUGUCUCUCAAGACUGAACACUUUGCUGCGCAUGCUGGCCACAGAGGUGGAGCUCCGAUAUCCCAAACAAGAAGUCCCAUGGCCUAACACUGCCUGGCACAGAAAGGAUCUGUUCUAAAAUGACUGAAAAUGUGUCUGAUGCCCGGGAAACCAGAAGCCCGCCCAGGGCCAAACUCUGGCUCCACUUAUUAUGUGACUGUAGGCAAGUCAGUGAACAGCGUGCCUCAGUUUCCUCAUCUGUAAAAUGGGGAUAAUGAUGAUCCAUACCUCACAGGGCUGUCAUGAGGGUAAACCGCGCUGAUUAAUGCAUGAAAAGUACGUGGAGGAGGGCCGGCACCUCGUGCGGGCUUUUUCCAUCUGUGCUGCUACUGAUGCUGCCAUAAUAAUGUGUUACUCAUCUUAAGAAAGGUAAAGGCCACCCUGGCUGUGUAGGUCUUCAGAAAUCUCCUCCUUUCCCGAAAUGGAGGGAGGGCAUGUUAAACUCUCUCUGUUUGGCUUACCAUGGUCUUUCCCACUAAAUACCUCUAAGCUCUGGCCCUCCUGUCCUUCUCACUGACACCAAAGUUGUUUUUCUAAAAAACAGUGAGCAUAUUAAAUAAGUAAAUAAAUAA